rnacentral:misc_RNA from 1 species
UGUGGCCGAUGACUGGGGUGAAGUCGUAACAAGGUAGCCGUAUCGGAAGGUGCGGCUGGAUCACCUCCUUUUGAGCAUGACAGCUACGCCUACAGGCGUCCUCACAAGUAACCUGCAUUCAGAGAGUUCCGCCUCAGGGGGGAGCACCCCGAUUUCGGGGCCAUAGCUCAGCUGGGAGAGCACCUGCUUUGCAAGCAGGGGGUCGUCGGUUCGAUCCCGACUGGCUCCACCAGAUUUGCAGAUCCCUCUGCAAACGCUCGCACCUGCGUGUGCGGACGGUCUCAGGGACCUGCAAGAGCCAAGACUUUGGGUCUGUAGCUCAGGUGGUUAGAGCGCACCCCUGAUAAGGGUGAGGUCGGUGGUUCGAGUCCUCCCAGACCCACCACUCUGAAUGUAAGAAGCACACUAAGAAUUUAAGAUGCGCCAGCAGUGAGGCUGGGGUAUGUUCUUUUAAAAUUUGUGACGUAGCGAGCGUUUGAGAUCAAACUAUCUUGACGUGUCGUUGUGGCUAAGGCGGGGACCUCGAGUCCCUAGAAAUUGAGUCGUUAUAGUUCGCGUCCGGUCGUUGCACCCCCGCACUCAGAAUGACCUUGAGGCAACUUGA